GGAGUCCUGCGCGUGUGCGCGCCGCGGGCUGUGGCGUGUGGGGCGCCAGCCCAGAGUAUGGCUCAGGGGCGAGCUCGGAGAAGUGGCGAGAACGUGCAUACACCUUCCUUGAAAAUGCCAUAUCAAGGUCAAUUACUGGAAUCUCAAGAUAAGAACUCCUCCACUGCCUUCAUGAAAAUGUAACGAGAAUGAUGUUUAUCACCUGCUUGCAACAAAAAGAAAGAAAGAAAGAAUGUGCGGUAAUAGUAAAUGCUGUGGAUAAAGAAAAAGUGUGUCAUACUGUUUUGGAAGAGAGAAUUAGAUUUGAUUUUCUGUGGACCAGCAUACAAAUGCAUGGCUUUCCUAUCAAAUGCCGGAAUCUUCUUCCAAUGGUACUGAAAGCACUGGAUAUAAUUCAAGGGAAAAGACAGCUUUCAGACAUCUGUUACUUAUUAGUUAUUCAAUUUUCUAUUGUCGUAUUCGCAAGAAAAUGUUCCUUGUGAAGUCACCAUUUAGUGAUUUUUCCAUAUUUGAUUUUAUUCUUUGCUGCACCUCUGAAAUCCCAGCUUUGGAUUGUAUAGCUUUUUUCACUCCAUUCAUUAAUUUGGUACUAGUGGUCCAAUUGAUAAGUCGAUGAGAUGAGUAGGAAAUAAAUCACAUUAAUUUCUUAGGGAUUGUGUCAACAAACACAGCUUCCCGUAUGAACCUGUGUGACUCUUGACCCAUUGUUGACUAAACAGUUUGUGUCAAAGAACUGUGUGCUAAGUCUAGUUUAUGUUUAUCUGACUCAAACAGGUUGUAACUGAUUGAAAUUUUUAGCAUGAUUGUGUAAACAAAAUUUCAAAGAGACUGUGUUUUGGUAUUAUCUGAUUUUUUCAAUUCUUUUAUCUCAUAUUUUUUGAUGGAAAGGUUUUCGGGAGGCAAUCUGAUCCAAGCUUUUCAAUUUAAAUUUUUACCAUAGUUCUUGAUUUAGACAUCAAAAUCUGAAAAUGGGUCUUUGCAAAACUACUUUGUGACCUCUGAAAACAAUCUGCUUCAUUUGGACAAGUAUCAAACCUCAAUAGAGCAAGGCCCUUUGUGAAAAUCACUGCUAAUGAAUGUAUUAAUAAUGUGGUAGGACAAGGACUUAGGAGAUUAAAUAUUCAUGUUCACAUUGCAGUGUUAAGGUGCAAACCUCUUAUUGUGCCAAAGAUUCUUAAAUAAAUAGUCUUGGCUUUGGACAGAUGUGGAAUAAGUUCAGAUGGAUGUGACUCAGUACUGCAAUAGAGCUGUUUAUUUCUUAUAGGCUCAGCAUCACCACUGUGCUGCAUCACUAAAUAGUAUGUUCUAGAUUGCAGGUCAUUCUUUUCUGAACAAAGAGCAGGUGGUAUGUGGA